CCUACGGGUGGCAGCAGUGAGGAAUAUUGGACACUGGACGAAACCCUGAUGCAGCGACGCCGCGUGAAUGAAGACGGAAUUCGUUGUGUAAAGCUCUCUCAGCAGGGAGGAAAAUGCCGGUACCUGUAUAGGGAGCCCCGGCUAACUCCGUGACAGCAGCACCGGGAAUACGUAGGCGGCCAGCGUUAUCCGGAUUUACUGUGUGUAAAGGGAGCGUAUACGGGAGUGCAAGUCUGGAGUGAAAGGCGGGGGCUCAACCAUCGGACUGCAGUGGAAACUGUACGGAUGGAGUGCAGGAGAGGUAAGUGGAAUUCGUGGUGUAGCGGUGAAAUGCGUAGAUAUGAGGAGGAACACCAGUGGCGAAGGCGGCUUACUGGACUGUAACUGACGCUGAGGCUCGAAAGCGUGGGGAGCAAACAGGAUUAGAUACCCUUGUAGUC
rnacentral:rRNA from 1 species